rnacentral:rRNA from 1 species
UUUGGAGGGCAAGUCUGGUGCCAGCAGCCGCGGUAAUUCCAGCUCCAAUAGCGUAUAUUAAAGUUGUUGCAGUUAAAAAGCUCGUAGUUGAAUUUCGGGAUUGACACAUCGGUCGUGCCUUAAGGGGUAUGAACUGGUGUAGUCAAUUUCUCACCUUCUGGAGAACCGCGAUGCCCUUAAUUGGGUGUCACGGGGAACCAGGACCUUUACUUUGAAAAAAUUAGAGUGUUUAAAGCAGGCAUUUUGCUUGAAUACAUUAGCAUGGAAUAAUAAAAUAGGACGGCAUGAUUCUAUUUUGUUGGUUUCUAGGAUCACCGUAAUGAUUAAUAGGGAUAGUUGRGGGCAUUAGUAUUCAAUUGUCAGAGGUGAAAUUCUUGGAUUUAUUGAAGACUAACUACUGCGAAAGCAUUUGCCAAGGAUGUUUUCAUUAAUCAAGAACGAAAGUUAGGGGAUCGAAGACGAUCAGAUACCGUCGUAGUCUUAACCAUAAACUAUGCCGACUAKGARUCAGMWCGACGUCCCCG